rnacentral:lncRNA from 1 species
GAACGCAACUCCCGAGGUCAUUGGUCAGUUGACAUUGACAUUUAGUUGAGUUCACAAUACAGCAGUGUUUUGACGAAUUUUAACUAAUUUUGGUAGCAUUUUAACUAAAAAACACCGUUAAAUACGUAAAUAAGUGUAUUAUUAACAAUAACAAAUAAUAAUUCGAUUGAAAAUACGUAAGAACGUAGUAAAAAAAUGGAUUUAAAAACCCGACCUUGUUUUCUGUGCAACAAAAAAGUUUACACGUUAAAAUUCACAAACGACAAAUUAAAAAUAUGUAGAAAAGUGCUGGCUGCGAGGAAAAAGUCAAAUUUGAUUUUCAAGGAUAUCGUUUUGCCAAAAAACUCUCAGUUAAACGUAGGUUACCAUCAAAAAUGUUAUAACAGAUUUCAAAUCGUACAGAAACACGCUGAAAUUACUUCGUCUAUCAUUGAGGAAGAACAGAAACCAACAAGAAAAAUACUACGGAGCACAUCAACCAUAAAAGACAAAAAACUACUAGAAAUUGCUCUACCAAACAACGAAAUAAACAUGAUUGCCAUAAUCAAACCAAAAUUAGACCCUAUCGGUACUUGUCAGGUAGAAUUUCAAAUACCUAGUCAAUCAUUUGAAGACGAAAUCGGUGAUAUCAAACCGGAUAUAUCUGAAGGGUCUAUUUUAAAAGCUAUUUUGACAAGAAAAAUGCCUGUUAGAAAAGUUAUGAUGAAUAAUUUUGAAGCAUGUAUUUAGUAUUAUAUAUAUUUUGUUUCCUUUGUUACAUAUUUUGGUCAAAGAAUCAGCAUUGCCAUUCAAUGUGGUUUUGUUAACAGUUGAUAGAAAUGUUGAAAGAUUUAAAAAUAUAAUUAGAAUAAUUUG